rnacentral:rRNA from 1 species
GAUGAACGCUAGCGGCAGACCUAACACAUGCAAGUCGAGGGAGAAGCCCUUUCGGGGGCAGAAACCGGCGCACGGGUGCGUAACGCGUAUGCAACCUACCUUUCACAGGGGGAUAGCCCGAAGAAAUUUGGAUUAAUACCCCAUAAUAUUAUUGGAUGGCAUCAUUUGAUAAUUAAAACUGCGGUGGUGAAAGAUGGGCAUGCGUCCUAUUAGCUAGUUGGAGUGGUAACGGCACCCCAAGGCUACGAUAGGUAGGGGUCCUGAGAGGGAGAUCCCCCACACUGGUACUGAGACAGGGACCAGAAUCCUACGGGAGGCAGCAGUGAGGAAUAUUGGUCAAUGGUCGGAAGACUGAACCAGCCAUGCCGCGUGCAGGAAGAAUGCCUUAUGGGUUGUAAACUGCUUUUAUAUGGGAAGAAUAAGGCGUACGUGUACGUUGAUGACGGUACCAUAUGAAUAAGCAUCGGCUAACUCCGUG